AAGGAAUUCAGUUUAUUCAUAUAAUUCUUCAAGUUCCAAGACAAUAAUAUUUACAGACAAGCAGUUUUUUAUUAAUAAUGCUUGCUCAAACUUUAAUUUGUUCUAUUUUUAUUUUUAGAGCCAAAACACAAACUUGAGAGGAAGAAAUGCUUCAUUUUUUCAUGUUCUGUUUCAAAGUGCAGGUUUUAAAAUGUAACUCAACGUUUAUAAGGUUUUUUUCAUUACACUUUUUGCAAGAAAUUAAAACUCACGAAAUAAAAAUAUCACAAAGCCAAUAUUCAACAAAAUCUGCGAGUUGUUUAAAGAAAGUAUCUUUAAUCAGAAUACUGAAUUUUUGAUUAACCUAGUAGAAAAAAUUUUAAUAAUAAAUCUGCAACAUCUUUCCCUAACCAAACAUUAAACAAAUGGGAAAAGCAAAGUCAUUCUUUGAAAAACAGCUGAUAUUACUGCUUUAAUACCUUUUCAGGAGUUCUGAUUUUUACAGAAUUUUUCCAAAUAUAUCAAUUAUCUGGGCAAAACAUUUAUGUUAUUUUUGUACUACUUUAGUUCUAGAGUAUUUUUCUAAUUCCUGUUUCAGUUGCAGUUCUUUGCUUGACUUUCCCCUUUUAAAAUCUAUUUGUUAAAGAAGAACCCUGAAAUACUCUGAAUUCCAUCUUAUUUGGUUAAUGUGACUAAUGAGACUUACCCUGGAAGAUCUUAGUGUUUUUCUAAAUUGAACAAUUAGCUACUCUACAAUAAAUGUGGCUGAAUCACACUCUCUUUGGAUACCUAUACUAGA
rnacentral:lncRNA from 1 species